rnacentral:rRNA from 1 species
ACUCCUACGGGAGGCAGCAGUGGGGAAUUUUGCGCAAUGGGGGAAACCCUGACGCAGCAACGCCGCGUGAGUGAUGAAGGCCUUCGGGUCGUAAAGCUCUGUCAGUGGGGAAGAAGUGAUAAGGUGUUAAUACCACUUUAUCUUGACGGUACCCACAAAGGAAGCACCGGCUAACUCCGUGCCAGCAGCCGCGGUAAUACGGAGGGUGCAAGCGUUGUUCGGAUCUAUUGGGCGUAAAGCGCGUGUAGGCGGCUUCAUAAGUCUGAUGUGAAAGCCCUGGGCUCAACCUGGGAAGUGCAUUGGAUACUGUGAGACUUGAGUACGGGAGAGGGCAGUGGAAUUCCUAGUGUAGGAGUGAAAUCCGUAGAUAUUAGGAGGAACACCGGUGGCGAAGGCGGCCUUCUGGACGGAUACUGACGCUGAGACGCGAAAGCGUGGGGAGCAAACAGGAUUAGAUACCCUGGUAGUCCACGCUGUAAACGAUGGGCACUAGGUGUUCGGGGUAUUGACCCCCUGAGUGCCGCAGCUAACGCAUUAAGUGCCCCGCCUGGGGACUACGGCCGCAAGGUUAAAACUCAWAGGAAUUGACGG